rnacentral:rRNA from 1 species
AACGAACGCUGGCGGCAUGCCUAACACAUGCAAGUCGAACGAGACGUUCGGGCCUUGUGGCGCACGGGUGGGUAACGCGUGGGAAGUUGCCCUUAGGUUCGGAAUAACUCCCCGAAAGGGGUGCUCAUACAGGAUAAUGUCAUCGGACCAAAGAUUUUUUGCCGUUGGGUGGGGCUGGGUUGGAUUAGCUAGUUGGUAGGGGAAAAGCAGGCCAAGGCCACGUUGCAUGGCUGGUCUGAUAGGAUGACUAUGCACACUGGGACUGAGACACGGCCCAGACUCCGACGGAACGCAGCAGUAUGGAAUAUUAGGCGCUGGACGAAAGCCUAAUACAGCAGUGCCGCGUGUGUGAGGAAGGCCGUAGGGUUGUAAAGCCCUUUUACCCGGGAUGAUAAUGACAGUACCGGGAGAAUAAGCUCCGGCUAACUCCGUG